UUCUUAGUUAGUCAAAACACAAAAAAAGGUAUCCUAACAUAUCUAAUAUCUUACCAAUCCUAACUUCUAAUAUCUUACCAACUCUAUAAAAUUGAACUCUCAGGAAGUAGCUUUACCUAGAGCUACGCACUGGGUUGGCCAUGUCAUUUCCUUUCUUAUAUCCAAUAGAGCUGUGAAAGAAAGUAGGGUUAUGGGCAAUAAUAAGAAAUCCGAAAUCACUAUAAAAAAAUCACCAGAAGUUCACUAAGUUUUGGAUUACGUUGGCAAUAUUAUUAGUGGUGAAUGUGAAAGUAGUACUCUUACAGAAGACUUAGAUUCGCAGGUUCUGGACAGGGAUCAACUAGUUGAAGCUGAACUCCAAGAGAAAGAAGCUGAAUUGCAGGCACUAAAAAAUUGUGUCACUCUCCUAAUCAAACUCCCUCUAUCCACAGUUUCAGGCACAAGUAAAUGCUUCUAUUCUCGACCCUUCUCUUCAAAGCCUGUGUUGUUGCUUUGUUUCCUUGAACCUGCAUCUUAAUACAUUUCAUUCAUUUUGCAUUACUAUGCUUUAUUAGCGAAAGGGGCAUCUCUAAUCUCAGCCAUUGUUCUCAGGUCAUGGAAACACCAAUUGGGGCUAUAACACUCUGGACUCAAUGUCAGAACACACUUAUUGUGUGUGAGCCAAGUGACUCUGAUUUGUAUGAGCAUACAAAGUACAUUGACAAAAUUAUAUGAUACAUUAAAACGGUAAUUUUGUAUGAAAUUGUUCUAUCAGAAUUCAAUUAGUUAUUGGGCCUCAUGAAGCCAUUGUUUUUUUUAUUCAUUACAAGCUAUCUUCACGAGUGUGACAAGGACUGAGACUGCUGAAACUGAAAUAUUUUUGACUUUCCAUGCUCUCUUGUUGGGAGAAAUAACACUGAAAUCACCAAAUUGCUUUGACAUUCUAUAUGGUUGUCUGAACUUUCACAAGGAUAGGAUUGUAAAGAAACGUUAAGAACCACAAUUAAAACCAUAAGAACAGCAAACUAAGACAAACUACCGAAUAUAAACACUAACUAAACAAGUUCUACCAAUUGAAUCAACAAGAAACAACAAAGACAUGUUUUAGAGUUUGUUUUGGAAUGGAGAUGGAAGAAGAAGAUGAAAAGGACAAGGAAACUUAUGUAGUUGGAGCUCUUGGAAUUGUGCACGCCACUUGAAGGAUGGUUGGCUUCAAGAUGAGUGUUGUUGCCGUCACUUAGAGCCCAAGAAUUCACUCAAGAUAAGACUAAAAGAGAAUAAGACACAAGUAUCUCUCGAUCACUCACCAAUUUGGUAGAGGUUCUUU
rnacentral:lncRNA from 1 species